ACAUGUAUUUCGUUUUUGUAAAAUUAACAGACUAUCGUUUUACCGAGUAACGAACUAUCCAGCCGGCAAGCUUGAUAAUUGUUUCGUUACUCGGUAAUAUCACAUCAGCUGUUUGUUUGUUGUUCGUUGCUUUAUUCAUUUUCAACGGAAAAAUAAGUCUGGCGUUCGUUGCUUAUUUUUAAAGGGAAAAAUUAAUUUGGUGCACACUCGUGAGUUUGAAAAAAUUUUGCAAAAUGGAACCUCAAAAGAAGAUACGUAAGAGGGCAAAGCCAAAAAAAAAAUGGAGUGAGGAGGAAAACGAUUUAAUUCUAGAAUAUUUACUAUAAAAUGUUGAAAUUGAGAAACCAAACGUCCAGUUGUACUAUAAAAAAUUAGUUGAAAUAACAAAUAUUGAUGCGACCACGGACAUGUUGCGCUGCAAGGUCCGGUACUGGAAGCAGAUGUAUAACAAAGCUGAGGAGUGGCGCAAAUCGACUGGUGCUGGAAUAGACGUUGGCGAUGAUGUUUCCUCAAUAAAAGGUAAAUGCGGCUUUAAUGUUAAGUGAAACUUUUUUGGUUUUUUAAUAAUUCUCCGUUCUUUGAGCAAAACUUUCACAAAUGUGUCCGAAUUAUGAACGGUUUUCGGUUCUAUUUGGGAGUAAAUCCGAAGCCAAUUGUGUUGUAGAGACGUACAACUUUGAAGUGUCACAAUACUGCAGCGAUUUUGCAGACCUUGUAGAGGUAGUGGAAAUUCCAGCCGAAUCAUCACAAUCAUCUACUGAACCAUCGGGUUCACUUAACGACAAUGCAGAACAGACAACAGUAGGAGCAGAGGUAGCAACAGAUCUUCCUACCACUCCGUCGUUCCUCGAAAAAGUGAAAAAACGUGCUCCAAAAAAUAUUCUUAGUGAACUUAAAGAUAUACAAAAGAAAAGAGAAGAGUUUUUUGAGCAACGAAUAGAAAUUGAAAAAGAAAAGUUAAAUUUGGAAAAGUUAAAGGUAGAAUUGGACAGAGAAAAGAUAAAUAAAGAUUUUGAAAUAAAAAAAUUGGAGUUAGAGCAAAAAGAAAGACUGGCGAUGAUUGAACUAAAGUGUAAAUAUAAUAUGUAACAAUUUUAUAUGUAUGUUUUGUAAAAUAAUUCUUAAGAAUGUACAAAUAUAUCUAAAUGUGAUAACUUGAAGUACAAUGCAACAACUUUUUAUAUGUAAAAAUGAAAAAUGAAUUUUUGAUGUGAUCAUAAUUUUUAAUUUAAUAAAACAGCAUUUGGAAACAUAA